UACACACGUGCUACAAUGGGGUAUACAAAGAGCAGCAAUACCGCGAGGUGGAGCAAAUCUCAAAAAUAUCUCCCAGUUCGGAUUGUAGUCUGCAACUCGACUACAUGAAGUUGGAAUCGCUAGUAAUCGUAGAUCAGCUAUGCUACGGUGAAUACGUUCCCGGGUCUUGUACUCACCGCCCGUCACACCAUGGGAGUUGAACUCAUUCGAAGCGGGGAUGCUAAAAUAGCUACCUUCCACAGUGGAUUCAGCGACUGGGGUGAAGUCGUAACAAGGUAACCGUAA
rnacentral:rRNA from 1 species